GAGUUUGAUCGUGGCUCAGCCUGAACGCUGGCGGCGUGGUUAAGACAUGCAAGUCGAACGGGCGUAGCAAUACGCUAGUGGCGGACGGGUGAGUAAUGUAUAGCUAACGUACCCCUUGGACAGGGAUAGCCAUCCGAAAGGAUGGGUAAUACCUGGCAACAUAUCCUGGUCGCAUGGCCGGGAUCUCAGAGGCCGUAAGGCGCCGAGGGAGCGGGUUAUAUUGUAUCAGCUAGUUGGUAGGGUAAUGGCCUACCAAGGCGACGACGCAUAUCCGGGCUAAGAGGUUGUCCGGACACAUUGGGACUGAGACACUGCCCAGACUCCUACGGGGGGCUGCAGUAACGAAUCUUCCACAAUGCACGAAAGUGUGAUGGAGCGACGCCGCGUGUAGGAUGAAGUUCUUCGGAAUGUAAACUACUGUCAGGGGUAAGAAAGUUCUGAUCUGCCCCAGAGGAAGGCACGGCUAACUCUGUGCCAGCAGCCGCGGUAAC
rnacentral:rRNA from 1 species